rnacentral:lncRNA from 1 species
GAAAAUUAGAAGUAGAGCCGUGUGGAAUCUGAAAGGCUGCGAUUCUCUACCACCGUUAAGAGACGGGUGUUCAUUACUUUUUUUAUGGUAUCUUAUUCAACCUCAUAUUAGACCUAAUAAUCACCGGUAUCAAAUAAUUUACAAAUUCUUACCUAUAAAAGUUUCAUGAAUUACGUUUUAAUGUUGAUGAAAUUCUUUAUUAGAUUAAUUUACAUGCAAAACCAUCGUUAUUGUAGCUCUUAGUUAUCUCAAAAUUAACGAUAUUUUUUGUCAAAGGAAUAGUAUAGAGUUUUGCGGCCGGCUGAGGCAACGACCGGUGAGGGUACUUCGGACUUUCCAAAGGUCGGACUCAUAACUAGUUGCACAUCCUAGUCAUUAUGAAAACGACACGUGUCAAUUGAAACCACUGAACCCAUGACACGUUUGUAGGAGGGGACCACGUGAGACCUUGUGUGGGAGUUAUCUUGUUCAGUCUCCCAAGACGUUAAGCAAUAUUAAUGGGAUCGCUAAGGACACGACAAGUGGUCAAGAUAAGGGUUUGCGAUAGUAUUUUAUUAAUAUUUUUACUGUUUCUAUACUUCACCAUGUCGUGCGAUUUGUGAUAUUUUGCAACUUUUGGAAUGGAAUAUGAUAGUAGGACAUAAACAGUUAUGAAAACAGUGUUGGCAAAAGUUAAAGUUAAGAUAGACAAGGGAUGCACGAUAUAGCUGAUCAAAU